rnacentral:ribozyme from 1 species
GAACCUCCAUCGAACUUUACCGGGACCUCCUCCGUCUCGUCAAUCACAUCGCACCGGGAGCAUCGCCCAAAUCCAUCGCCCUGCGCACCAUGAUACGUUCCGAAUAC